CCUACGGGAGGCAGCAGUGAGGAAUAUUGGUCAAUGGACGAGAGUCUGAACCAGCCAAGUCGCGUGAAGGAUGACUGCCCUCUGUGUUGUAAACUUCUUUUAUAUGGGACUAAAAUGUUCCACGUGUGGGAUUUUGUAUGUCCCAUAUGAAUAAGGCUCCGCUAACUCCGUGCCAGCCGCCGCGGUACUCCGGAGGUUCCGAGCGUUAUCCGGAUUUAGUGGGUUUAAAGGGAGCGUAGGUGGAUUGUUAAGUCAGUUGUGAAAGUUUGCGGCUCAACCGUAAAAUUGCAGUUGAAACUGGCAGUCUUGAGUACAGUAGAGGUGGGCGGAAUUCGUGGUGUAGCGGUGAAAUGCUUAGAUAGCACGAAGAACUCCGAUUGCGAAGGCAGUUCACUGGACUGCAACUGACACUGAGGCUCGAAAGUGUGGGUAUCAAACAGGAUUAGAUACCCGAGUAGUC
rnacentral:rRNA from 1 species